GAUGAACGCUGGCGGCGUGCCUAAUACAUGCAAGUCGAGCGAACAGAUGAGGAGCUUGCUCCUCUGACGUUAGCGGCGGACGGGUGAGUAACACGUGGAUAACCUACCUAUAAGACUGGGAUAACUUCGGGAAACCGGAGCUAAUACCGGAUAAUAUAUUGAACCGCAUGGUUCAAUAGUGGAAGACGGUUUUGCUGUCACUUAUAGAUGGAUCCGCGCCGCAUUAGCUAGUUGGUAAGGUAACGGCUUACCAAGGCAACGAUGCGUAGCCGACCUGAGAGGGGGAUUGGGCACCCUGGAAAUGAGACAAGGUCCAGAAUCCUACGGGGGGCAGCAAUAGGGAAUCUUCCGCAAUGGGGGGAAGCCUGACGGGGCAAAGCCGGGUGAGGGAUGAAGGUCUUCGGAUCGUAAAACUCUGUUAAUAGGGAAGAACAAAUGUGUAAGUAACUAUGCACGUCUUGACGGUACCUAAUCAGAAAGCCACGGCUAACUACGUG
rnacentral:rRNA from 1 species